rnacentral:lncRNA from 1 species
CUCACCAGGUGUUUUACCAUCGAGGAAGGUAUUACUAGGAUACAUGGGGAUCAAGCCCUUGGUGGCUUGGUCCAAGCUAUGUUGGUAACCUAGCCAAGUUCUGGCCUUCCCUUCUCUGCAUGAACAUAGCGCAAAAGAGUAAUCAUGCCCUCAGAAUGAAAUUUAGUUACUGCACUGAUGCCCUACUCCCAUCCCCAUGCAGUUCCUUGAGAGGCAGGUGUAAUUUAUGCAGAGAUGUAAUAUGUUCUGAUCUGCACUCUUUACAAUUAUAGUGCAGUAAGUCCCCAUGCCCAC